rnacentral:rRNA from 1 species
UACGUAGGGUGCGAGCGUUGUCCGGAAUUAUUGGGCGUAAAGGGCUCGUAGGCGGUUUGUCGCGUCGGGAGUGAAAAACACCGGGCUUAACUCGGUGCUUGCUUUCGAUACGGGGCAGACUAGAGGUAUGCAGGGGGAGAACGGAAUUCCUGGUGUAGCGGUGAAAUGCGCAGAUAUCAGGAGGAACACCUGCGGCGAAGGCGGGUUGCUGGGCUGACACUGACGCUGAUGCGCGAAAGCUAGGGAGCGAACGGG